CGGAAACGUCCGAUCGGCAUUUCGGCCGAUGUUAUUUUAAGCCGCGUCGCCUGAACCGAAAACUUUACUAACCUUUACUUAUUUGACGGUACACGGUGCGUGUGCACACGUAUAUACACACUUUUCGGGAUGCGCGAUCCAAUAAAAAUCUCAAGUCCGAUACCAACAGUAAAUAUUAUUGUUAUUGUCUCCGUGAUCACGAGAAGCAGAAGGU